CAAAACGAAGAAUACCGAUUCUUCCAGAUUUCACAAUCGGACAAACAGUGUUCGAAAUGGAUUCCAUUUUGGGAUUACAGUUUUGCCCUGAAUAGUUGAAUAUAUAAGAGGGAUCUCUGGUACUAUCCUAAUUCGAGAAGCCUCCAUUGUCGUCAGCAUCUGCUUUUAGCCGACAUCAAACUUCUCCAUCAAGAUCAACAUCAGCACAGACUUGGGAUCCAUUCACGUGCUAUUGUCAUGAUUGAAACAGAAAGAAGAAGACCUUUGAGCAAUUCAAAGGAAUUCAAGAUGUGUAAUUUAUAUAAGGGGUUCAAACCAGGUGGGUCUUCUCUGGCCCAUGCUUUUGGUUUAGUUUGGAUUCUUAGAUAACUUGCCGGAAUUGAUCAGAAAAAAUGCGUUUGGGCACCAGUACAAUGGCCAGCAGUGUUUAACUUGAGUCAUUCGGUCAUAGUUUCAAAUUCAGUCUUCAGCUUUAAAGGCUUAACUUGGUUGAUUACAGCAGUUAUGGCUGGUUGCUUCGUAUGAAUUACAUAUUGGCUAAAAGCAUUUCAGCAAGUCAGGUAGAUAUAUGGCGCCUGUCGCAGCUAAAGAAACAUUCUACACCUCAGGAUGUUUGCCAAGAUUUUGCACCAGUGGCAAAGAAUGAUGGAAGCAGCAACUUUCAAAUUAAGACAUUUGUAAAUGCCAUAGCAGCACCGAUGUACCUAAUUGGAUCAAAAUCGCUCAUGUAUGUAUCUGGUUAACAUACCAGAUUUUCAAAUCUGUAAAAGAUACUCUGAUUACGGACAUAAUAUUUUGAACGUUUGUUUUUGUUGUAGUUAAACUUAUAACCAACCCGCAGCAUCACGCGGAAUUGAUCUCUAUCGUUGUCUACACAAGCAAUUACUCUCCUGAACAACAGUAAUGUUAUGAGAUCUAAUUCAUUUACGUAGUUCUGAUUACGGACAUAAUAUUAUGUAAUAAUUUCUUUCUUCCAUUACGUAGUUCUAAUUCAUUGA